CCCUGCCGUGCCACGCGAAGCCCUGCCCCACCUCGCCGCUGACAAGAACGGUCUGAAGCAAUCCACUCCAGCUGACGAGAAUGGUGCCAGCAUGGGGGUUACUCUCGGUCCUCAGGCAGGUGGUGUGUGUGGAAUCCAUGAGUCACAAUGGUUCUGCCGUCCAGCUGCGCCUCACAGUGGUACACAGCUGCGCCCUCCUCCACAGGCAGCACCGCCCGCACCUAUAAGAGAGAGAGAGAGAGGCGCCAGGCAGGGGAGGAAAGAAUGAAGUAAAGAAAGAAAGGACAAAACACACGCCUCUUUUUUCUUCUUUUUUCAUGUUUAACUCCUUCUCCUCCUUUUCCUUCUGCGUUAGCAAAGGAAAUUAUCAAAUAAGGAAAGGAGGAAUGAAAUGUGAAGAAAGAGGGGAGGAAGCAGACUCUCCUUAUUACCGAACGCCAUUAUUCUUCCUACUUUCAUGUUUAUCUGCUCCUUCUCCUUAUUAGUGAAAAGAAUGAUUAAAUAAGAAAAGAGAGGAGGAAGGAAAGUUAAGGUUCUAGCUAUGAAAUGCAUAUGAUUGUUCCCCCUCCUCCUCCUCUUCAUUAAUGUUGUACUAGUGAAAUUAAUGCAUAUAUAAGGACUGCGCCAGAUAAGAAAAUUACGAAGUAAAGAAAUUCAAAUUAAAGAAGGAAAGAUG